GAUGAACGCUGGCGGCGUGCCUAAUACAUGCAAGUCGAGCGAACGGACGAGAAGCUUGCUUCUCUGAUGUUAGCGGCGGACGGGUGAGUAACACGUGGAUAACCUUCCUAUAAGACUGGGAUAACUUCGGGAAACCGGAGCUAAUACCGGAUAAUAUUUUGAACCGCAUGGUUCAAAAGUGAAAGACGGUCUUGCUGUCACUUAUAGAUGGAUCCGCGCUGCAUUAGCUAGUUGGUAAGGUAACGGCUUACCAAGGCAACGAUGCAUAGCCGACCUGAGAGGGUGAUCGGCCACACUGGAACUGAGACACGGUCCAGACUCCUACGGGAGGCAGCAGUAGGGAAUCUUCCGCAAUGGGCGAAAGCCUGACGGAGCAACGCCGCGUGAGUGAUGAAGGUCUUCGGAUCGUAAAACUCUGUUAUUAGGGUAGAACAUAUGUGUAAGUAACUGUGCACAUCUUGACGGUACCUAAUCAGAAAGCCACGGCUAACUACGUG
rnacentral:rRNA from 1 species